UGUCCGAUGCCACGUCGAAGGUAGCUCUUCUCUUUUUUGGGUGGCUAUGAUCCUAGCUCGACGCUAUAUUGGACAUAAACAAAUGUUCGUGUUUCGCUUACUGAUAGGAACCUGUGGAUCUUGUUUUACGAUCUACAGAGCCAUGGCGAUUACAAUU